UACGAAGGGGGCUAGCGUUGCUCGGAAUCACUGGGCGUAAAGGUGCGUAGGCGGGUCUUUUAAGUCAGGGGUGAAAUCCUGGAGCUCAACUCCAGAACUGCCUUUGAUACUGAAGAUCUUGAGUUCGGGAGAGGUGAGUGGAACUGCGAGUGUAGAGGUGAAAUUUCGUAGAUAUUAGGAAGAACACCAGUGGCGAAGGCGGCUCACUGGUCCGGUACUGACGCUGAGGUGCGAAAGCGUGGGGAGCAAACGGG
rnacentral:rRNA from 1 species